AUCGAGAUGACGAGUCCCAAAUAGGACGAAAUGUGCAUCCUCGAU
rnacentral:hammerhead_ribozyme from 1 species